rnacentral:rRNA from 1 species
CACGUAGGCGGUCGUGUAAGUCAGACGUGAAAGCCCUGGGCUUAACCCAGGAAGUGCGUCUGAUACUGCACGACUUGAGUCCCGGAGAGGGUGGUGGAAUUCCUGGUGUAGAGGUGAAAUUCGUAGAUAUCAGGAGGAACACCGGUGGCGAAGGCGACCACCUGGACGGAGACUGACGCUGAGGUGCGAAAGCGUGGGGAGCAAACA